AUGACCAGUGUGCAAAGGGAGCCGCACACUGGAGUGUGGCAGCCACACAGGCGAUCUGUGGGGUUCCAGCUGGCUCAGGGCAGUGGCUGGGAGGAAAAGGGACCAGUGGCAGUAAAUGGGGUCAGAAAGGAGGACGCUCACUGCCGAGUGAGGGACUCAGGGGCAGCAUCAGGUGGAGGUGACCCUGGGUGGCGGUCUCUGGUCUGCGCUUCUCCUCUUCCUGGGGCUGGAGAGGGUGGAGGUCCAGCAUGUGCACAGAGACUCUGCCCAGGAGGAGGGACCUUGGCUAGUAUGGGGGUUGUAGUCCAAGAAGGUAAUGUUGGAAGCAAAAGGAAGCUGGGUUGUAUGUCUCUGAGCAGAGAGCUCCGGGUGGGACAUCCACACGAACAAAGUGCAGACAGGGGAUGGGAUGCCCCGUGGAGGACAGCAUCUGGGGGAGAGAUGACUGAGAGCGGGAAGGGCGAGCACGGUGGACAGCAGGGCCAGGGUCUGUGCAGGUCUGGACGGAGUCCGCAGGUGUCAGGUCAGAGCUGGCAGACGCAGGGACAAGAAGGUGACAAAAAGGUGCGAGUGUGCGGUGAAAGGACAAGCAGGAGAACCAGGCCGAGAUGCCCCAAGAGCUGUGGCAGAGGAGUGCUUGAUGAGGGCCUGAUGGGAACAUGCAAGUUUAUGGGGAGCGAUAUUCCGAGGUCCUGGAGGAGAAAUACGGUGUCAGUCCACAUGGCUGAGAACGGGAUGGUGGGCAGAGCCUGUGGAUUCAGGUGUGUCUGCCACAAAGAGGGUUGAAGUGGGGUGAGCAGUGGGUGAGGAUCAAGAAGGGAGCACACAGCAGAGGAGAUGAUGGAAUCCAGUCUGAGGCUCACAGUGUAGCUGAAAGAAUCUCACAGGUCAGGUAGGACAGGUUGAUGGUUUUUUUUUUUGUUUUUUUUUUUUACAAUGUUGCAGUAGAGAAUCAAAGCAGGAGAGACCCUGAAACGAGGAGGAUGGGUGGGCAGUCUGCGGGAGGUGGAGAGCAUGGAGCGGAAGCGGGGUCCAGCGGGCCAGGAGAGCGAGGGACCUCACGUGACGGCGCCCGGCAGCCAGGGCAGGAGAGACUUGUUGAGAGGAACACGAAUGCAGUGCACCAAGAGAUGGCUGAGCACGGGCUAGAAGGAGAGAUGUGAAGGACCCAGAACUGAGCUGCGGGAGUGGGCCAGGGGCACGAGGAAGCUCGUGGAGGAGGAAGAGCACCGCGCAGGCCAGGCCAGGGAGGAAGUCAGGACAGGAGGGUGAGGUCAGAGCGGGUCAGAUGGCAGAGGCGGUGGUGGUUUGGAGAUAUGGAGACAGCCCUGUCCGCGGAACACCUGCUGAGAUGAUGAAAGGUCAGGGGGCACCUGGAAGCAGUGACUUUCGCCAAAAUGGUAACCCCCAUGGUAGAGGAGUGUUUGAUGAGGGCCUGAUCUCCAAAAUGGUAACCCCCAAAGUAGUGUGUUUUGUUGUGAAUUCAGACAGCCUGGAUUCACUCCAGCAUGCUGGAGACCAAGAAGCUGGCAUUCGGGGAGCAUAAAGGCAGGUCCAGAAAGAAGUUGAGGGAAAGGUUGGGGAAUGUGUCGCAAGACUGGCAGCUGGGAGAGGGAGUAGGAUGAGAUGUUGAGGGGGAAGCAGAGGGGCUCCUGAAGACAACAGCAGGAGAAAGAGUGGAAGAGGGGCCGAGCCAGUCCAGUGGCAACAGGCCUGGAGAGAGACACUGGAGUGUGGGCAGCGGCGGAAGCUAUCUUCAGGAUAGGAGCUGGGUCGGGCGAAUCGAUGGAAAUAGAAAGAAACAGGUGGUAGUGAAGAGGGGAAAGAAUGUCAUGAACUUGCUGGGGCUCCACGCAGGUAAAGGGGAUACUGCCAGGAAGAGCAGGGCCGCCUGAGAGGCUCCCGGUCCGGGGCUCUGAUAGAUGUCAUGAGGCAGGAGGCUUUUGUGCAGUAUUGAUGCCAGACAGCAGGAGCAGAGCAGAGCUGAGAUAUCAUCGCUGGGGCCUUUGAAGACCCAAGGUCCUCAGAGCAAAGCGGAAAGGGCCACAGUUGACACAGAGGACAGAGCAGGGUGGCGCCAUCAGAUAGACCCUGGCAGAGAACCUCAGGGACACCGGCAAGGACCAGGUGGAGCCCAGUGUGUGGAUAGCAAACUUGUUCAGUAAUGGCAUAGGGAUGGGUGGGAACUACGGUGGCACCAACAUUUGCCGUCCAUCACAGAAUUGGGGUCGUUGCUAUCCCUUGGCUGUUGAAGAGUGGACAUUAACAAGUGACAGAGAGACUGCACAGAGAAUCAGGGGAAAGCAGGGAUUACCAUGGGCAGGAAAGGGCCAUAAGAGGAGAGCGCAGUGGGUGAGAGGCUUGAGGGGUGAGGGACUCUGCAUCCAGUGGCUGAAACCAAACAACAGAGCAGGAAAGGCCAAAGGGGAUGGGAAGCAAUUGGAGGGUUGAAAGAUAUGUACAUGGGUGCUGAGAGGGAAUGGUGGCCUACAGGGAAAGAGGGGGCUCUCAACCUGUCAUCAGGGAGAGCAACGCAAUGGGCAGGGACGCACCCUGCUUUCAGUGCAGGAGAGAUGAAGCAGUGGAGGCAGCACAGGGACAAGAUGGGGAAGUGGGGGCCUGGUGUAAAGUCCCGUGGGCAAUGGCUUGAUUAAAAGGGAGGAGAGAGGAGGCAGAGAGAGUGCAAGACUGAGGUAAAGGGAGCCAAAGGGAAAUGGUCGCUGGGGCCAGUGGGAGGAUCAGGCCAGGGACAGUCCAGGACUUAGGGAGAAGAAUGAGGCAUAGAGGGCAAGGAAAGACCGAGGAGAGCAGGUCACAAGAGGGAGCACCCUCUGUGGAGAAGUGGUGACCCAGUGCAACUUGAUGGGCAUCAGGAACAUUGAGAUGAGAUCAUGGCCGUUCGAGAAGGGCCAGAGAGGGAAAGGGAAGGAAUGGAUCACACGAGGAACAGUCACAGGAGGGGGUGUCCAUGUGGCGGUCUCCGUGCACCACCAAGGGAGGGUCACCUGCCAGCGACAGAUGAUGGAGAGUGAUGGGAGAUGCAUGAGGCAGAUGGGGAGGGGAGAGAGGAGGAAGGAGACAGGCAGGUUAUCACCAAGAGAACAAUGAGAAGAGGGAGGUGGCCGGAAAGAAUCCAGAGAGAUGUCAGAGGUGCCAUUGGAAGGAAGUUCAGUGGGGGCCAGCCAGUGGGGGCAGAGCCAUGGAGAGAGUGGAGACGGGGGGGUAGCGAGCAGUGGGUGGGGAGCAGUGGCUACCCUCACAGCCUCAAAUGUUGUAGCAAGGGUGGCACUUUUCGGCCAGGCUCCUUAUUACGGAUCCAGCUGAGACAGGGUGGGAGCACGGCGAUAGGGCUUGAGGUUUGAGGUAGGGAUGUGGGUAGAAGUUACCUGGGUCAGACAGGAGAGCAGAGAUGAGAUCAGUGGGGCUGGGGGGAUGGGAGUCGGGACACGUAUCAAGUACCAGGUUCUAAGUGUGUCAUCUACUUUAACUGAGCUUGUGGGCUGAUCACAAGUCCAGUGUUGGGGGUGACACCAACCCUGGAAGAGGGAGGGUGGGAAUGCUGAGUCUCCCCAGAGAGGACAAAAGGAGAGUUGCUGCAGGAAAGGUGGAAGGGCGCCCAGUUCCAGGAUCUAGGUGUGUCAUCUGCUUUAACUGAGCUUGUGGGCUGAUCCAAGUCACUGUUGGGGGUGACACCAACCCUGGAAGAGGGAGGGUGGGAAUGCUGAGUCUCCCCAGAGAGGACAAAAGGAGAGUUGCUGCAGGAAAGGUGGAAGGGAAGCACCUGAAGGGCAGGAAAGACAGAUGGAGAAGAUCACCAAAAGGGCAGGGGUUCACAGAUCUGAAACGAGGAUGGAUGAACUAUUGAAAGGGACAAAUGACGAGCACUGAGAAAGAGGAGAAGUGGACCAAAGACACCGUCAGAGUCUUGAGAGCCAUGAAAUGCGGGCGGGAGGAGGGCGUGCGGAGUGUGGCAUUGAGAGGCAGGCGAGCCCAGUGCAGGAGGGCUUGUGGGGGGAGAAGGGACUGCCCGGAGGGAGGAGGAGGAGGGCAGGACAGCGGACCAGGGCCCUGUGCAUGUCCAGACUGCGUGUGGAGGUGUAGGGAGAGGGGCUGGCAGGAGUGGGGGCAGGAGGGUGUGAAGGUCAGAGGGUUGUGAUGGAAGGAAAAGGAAGAGAAUCA
rnacentral:lncRNA from 1 species